rnacentral:lncRNA from 1 species
CCUGAAAUCAUCAAUAUUUUAUUUUUCAAUGUCUGACCUGUUACCCCCACCUCGACACUAACUUUUCCUGUAAUUUUAAUCAUGUUGCAUGGCAGGAUGAUGAGGAAGAAGAAGAAGAAGUUUCGGAGCAAAAGUCAGUCGAGGAGAAACAAGAAAGAAAACAAAGUGUCUCUACUAAGAAGGAAGAAACUGAAGAGUCUGAAAAACGAUCAGUGAGAAGAAAGUCAUCCGUCAAACAGAUAGAGGAAAUCGUUGAAACUCAGGAGAGGCUGACAACUAGACGCAGGUCCUCAGUCAAACAGUUUGAAACACAAUUUGAGGAAAAUGAAGACAGUAAGUCAGGAACACAAUCUCGCAGAACAUCGACAACAAAACCCGAAACAAAACCCCAAGAGGAAGCUAAAAAACCCUUAGAAAACCCUAAACCUAGCGAACCCAAGCAGCCGGAAAAGAAACCAACCCUUGAGAAACCUGAGGAGAAACCGAAAUCAACUCUCGGUCUGAAAAAACCAUCAGUCAAGGAACCUGUAAAGAAACCAGAUGCCCCUGAAACAAAAGUUGAUUCCGCUGAGGUUGACGAUGAGGAAACAGCUAGUAGUAGAUCAGACGGGAGCUCUGAAGAGGAAGAAGAUACUUUCGAUGAGUCAGACAAUACGUUUAGCUGGAAGGUAAGAAGCGGGUGUUCGCCAGCGUCUGUCCUCUUGUCCGCUGCCAAAUCUUCAUUGUGCCGUCCUCAAAUUUAGUACUUUGCUUCUUCUUCUUCUUCUUCUUCUCUAUUUUCUAAAUUUAAUCAACUCUGUGAUUGAAUGCUUUGGGAUAAGAAAGGGCAUAGAAUAGGGCAUCUGAAUAAUACCUAGUCUUGCUCAAGAAGUUUAAAAGCCAAAGUUUUUACAUAUUC